rnacentral:rRNA from 1 species
UACGGAGGGAGCUAGCGUUGUUCGGAAUUACUGGGCGUAAAGCGCGCGUAGGCGGCUUUGUAAGUUAGAGGUGAAGGCCCGGGGCUCAACCCCGGAACUGCCUUUAAGACUGCAUCGCUUGAAUCCGGGAGAGGUGAGUGGAAUUCCGAGUGUAGAGGUGAAAUUCGUAGAUAUUCGGAAGAACACCAGUGGCGAAGGCGGCUCACUGGACCGGCAUUGACGCUGAUGUGCGAAAGCGUGGGGAGCAAACAGG